rnacentral:snoRNA from 1 species
CUCUGGCAGUGAUGACUUCCAGAAUUUUAUUUCAUACAAUGUUUGAUUGGAACUAUUCAGUUGGUACAGGCCACAA